UAUAUAUAUAUAUAUAUUGUUUAAAUAAAUAUUUGAAAUGGAAAUAAAAAAAAGUUUAUCCUUAUUACAUUUAUUACAUAUUAAAACAAUUACAUAUAUUAUUUGUAUAAAAUAUUUUAAAAUGAUUUUAUCGUAUUAAAUUUUUUACUAUAAGAAUAAAUUUUUAUGAUAAUUUCAUCUUUUAUUACAUGUAAUGAUAUGAAAUGAGAAUGGUAGUUAUGUUGCUUGAUAAAUAUUUAGACUACGCUGGCUCCAUUAUAGCCAUAUUGGCGACGGUAAUGCCAUAAAUGAAGUUAAUAUUGCGUUCAUUAUUAACCAUUGGAAAUGUGUUUUGCUCGGAGUUUUGACACGAUGGAAUCUCCCAAGCGUGAAAUAUUUUUGUGGUCGUAGAAAUUUGACGAUCUUGAGUUUUUUCGCAAACAAAAUCUAAAGAUUGUUCCAUAGAAUUUACGUUUACUCUUUCUAUCAUUCCAUCUAUUAUAUUCUUUUCAUCGAUAUUGGAGUUUUGAUGCGAGUAUUGCUGCCAUCUUCUUGUGAGGAAGAAAUUAUUUAAUAACGAAAUCAUUAUUCCAAUUUUAAUAUGAUUAUUUGAUUAAUAUAAUGAUGAUAUUUUUUUAGUUAAAAAAUAAAA